rnacentral:tRNA from 1 species
GCCCCCGUGGCGGAAUUGGUAUACGCGGCAGGUUGAGGGCCUGUGCUCUUUGAGCGUGCUGGUUCGAGUCCAGCCGGGGGCACCA